CCAUCUCCUCCCGACUUCUGAGCCCUGUCGUUUGUUCUUCUCCCUCUCGACUUCUCAUCUUCUGCUGCUGCGCCGCCGGCCGCCGCUAGGCGAGGGUUGGCUUCCGUCCGCAGGGCGCCGGCGCCAGGCCGAGGAGCGCAAGCGCAGAGAGAUCCGCCGCUGCGGUGGCUCGCCGGCCGCUGAUCUGAUGGAGCCACGGAGGGCGCGUCGACAGCGGCCACGGGGCCAUGCUUACUGCUGUUGCAAAUCAGGCGACAGUGGCAGCCGGGUGCGCGGCCGCGACGGCGGGCGCCGUUUACGGAAGCACUGGAAGCAUCGCCGGCCACGGUAGGCACAAAUGCGGAGGAAGCAGAGCACAUGGCUGGCGUCGCUGAGGAUGAGCGGACCACACUGACGCCAAAUGCAGCAGCUACGGCCACAGGAAGUUCAGCGGCUGAGGCACCAAAGGCACCGAAAAGAUUGAAGUCGUUGAUCUGAAAUCUUUGUGGACUGGAGCAGCAAACAAACCCAAAUCAUACUUGUAUUGUACCUUGUAUCCUUAAAUCUCUGUUUUCGUGAACCUUAAUCGUUUAUAUACGAUGAUUGAUAUAAAGGAUGAUUGUUCCGUUCGCUCA